UUAAGUUCAGCGGGUAUCCCUACCUUAUCCGAGGUCAAACUGGUACUGAUAAAAGUUACGGGGACAAGCCAGUGCAGGACACCAUAGCGCUUUGUAUAUAUACUACGCUAGUGCCAACGGACAAGGCCGCCAUGGUCUUUAAGGCCCGUCUGCAAACGGCAGACGAUCGCCCAAGCGCAGCCGGGGUCACGUAAGUAUCU
rnacentral:misc_RNA from 1 species